ACUGCAGUCGAGCGGGGUGAUUAGUAACUUGCUUCCUGACGUUGCGGCGGACGGGUGAGUAACACGUGGGCAACCUGCCUGUAAGACUGGGAUAACUUCCGGAAACCGAAGCUAAUACCGGAUAGGAUCUUCUCCUUCAUGGGAGAUGAUUGAAAGAUGGUUUCGGCUAUUCUUACAGAUGGGCCCGCGGUGCAUUAGCUAGUUGGUGAGGUAACGGCUCACCAAGGCCACGAUGCCAGCCCACCUGAGAGGGUGAUCGGCCACACUGGGACUGAAACACGGCCCAAACUCCUACCGGAGGCAGCAGUAGGGAAUCUUCCGCAAUGGACGAAAGUCUGACGGAACAACGCCCCGUGAGUGAUGAAGGCUUUCGGGUCGUAAAACUCUGUUGUUAGGGAAGAACAAGUACAAGAGUAACUGCUUGUACCUUGACGGUACCUAACCAGAAAGCCACGGCUAACUACCUGCCAGCAGCCGCGGUAAUACGUAG
rnacentral:rRNA from 2 species